rnacentral:rRNA from 1 species
AACGCGAAGAACCUUACCGGGGCUUGACAUCCUGCGCCAUCCUAGGAGACUAGGCUUUCUAGCAAUAGAACGCAGAGACAGGUGCUGCAUGGCUGUCGUCAGCUCGUGCCGUGAGGUGUUGGGUUAAGUCCCGCAACGAGCGCAACCCUUGUCGUGUGUUGGUCAGCAAUGAUCUCUCACACGAGACCGCCGGUGACAAGCCGGAGGAAGGUGGGGAUGACGUCAAGUCAGCAUGGCCCUUACGUCCCGGGCUACACACGUGCUACAAUGGGAAGGACAGCGAGUCGCGAACCCGCGAGGGCAAGCUAAUCUCUUAAACCUUUCCUCAGUUCGGAUUGGAGGCUGCAACUCGCCUCCAUGAAGUCGGAAUCGCUAGUAACCGCAGAUCAGCUACGCUGCGGUGAAUACGUUCCCGGGCCUUGUACACACCGCGUGUCU